AUUUGUCUACAAUUUUCGUUUGGCAUGGAAGUGUUAAUGGAAAAUUGGGAUUAAACUAAUCACACUUGGAUUAAUAAGUGGGAUUGGGAAGACAAAACAAAAAAAAAAAACAGCCCACUUUUAGGCCAUGCUUGGCCGUGCAUUUCAAUGCCUUGGUCAAGGAAUCUUGACCCAAAAUUAGUGUGAUCCACAUGUCCAAGGCAUGGAGGGGACAAAGAGACAAAAAAAAUCUGUCCACUCCACACUUUCACAACUCAUUACAACAUUCCAAAGUGUAGAACACUUAGAGAGAGAAAGAGAGACUCACGGCUAGAGCUAGCCGAAAAUGGUGAAGAAAAAUUGAUCCAAAAAUUUCAGUUUCUCAAGCAAUUUAACUCCAUUGAAGGUAUAUUAACGUGUAGCAUCCAUUGAUAUAGCAAGAACAAGUGUUAAAAAAAAAAUCCAAGAAGUGAAAGUGAAGGCUAGCCGAUUGAAGUGUAGUUUCAAGGUAAGAGUUGAUAAUUUUUUUCAUGUGUUGUAUGACGAUUUGAAUGUAUAGUUCAUGCAUGUUGUUGUUGGAUUGUUGUUGUAGUUGAAGUAAAGAGUUAGCCGUGAGUGAGGUGAAGUCAUGAUUGAUUUCAUUUUGCAUGUAUUGUUGAUGAAUUGAAUAUGUAUCAACAUAGGCAAAUGAACAAAGAUUUGUAGAAGUUUGGUUGUGAUGUUGUAUGUUGGAUAUGGGACUGUUUUUUUUUUUUUUUUUUUUUUUCUUGAAAUGAAAAUGAGCCGUGAGUUGAAGGUUCUAAUGAAGUCAUGCUUUAUCUUCUUGAACAUGUAUUGGAAAUGGAUUGAAUGUAUUGUAGUUGGAUAAACGGAUGAAAAUCACGAAAUUGUGGGAAGGGUGUUGUAGCCGUGUAAAAAGGGACUGUUUUAGGGGAGAUUUAGGGACUGUUUUGUGUCACAUUUGGAUUGUUGUUGUUAUGGACAUUGUGGUGCAUUGUAUGCAUGUUGAAUAUGUGAAUUGAGGUGUUAAAGAAAUGAAUUAUGAUGAAGUGUAUAGGCAGUCCAAAACUGUGGACAGUUUUGAUGUUAGAAGUGAAUUUGUGUGUGUUGAAUGUUGAUUCUUGUUGCAAACGUUUAGUGAAAGUAAAGUGCAUUGAUUCAAGCUGAAACUGAAAUGAUGGUGGGCUGUUAUAAGAAUGGAAAUGAUGCUAAAACAGUUCCCAAAAUCAUGAAAGUAAUGUCAUUAAACGUGUUGUUGUUGUUGCAAGUUAAAACUGGAAAAUUGCUAAGUGAGAAUGGAAAUGCUAUGUGUGUUGUUUAGCCAUGUGUAUGAAACAGUUUUGAAUGGUGUAUGGACUGCCCAAGUUCCCUAAGUCAUGUUUAAACAAGUCUUGAUUAAUAUAUGAAAGAACGAUUAGCAAUGUUAGCUUGUAACGCUAGUUGGUUUGAAUGCGAACGAAACGUCGUUUAAUUGUUAGAAAGGAAUUGUGAGUGUCACAAUACGUAUUGAAUGCCCUUGUAGACUAAUUGUAGUUCUUCACAUCUUGAUAUAGGAUAAGUGUUUUUGGGCAGCAAGUACAAGUUAGAAUACAACUAAACGCAAAAGGUACAGACGCUCGUUUCGGAGAUCCGCCAGCUUAGGACACUAUUUCGGCUAUUUUGGACUGCUCCUUUGUUCCGGAGCUAGCUUGUGGUAUAACUCCCUUAUGUUGUAUUCGUAGGUGUUUAUUUGGGUAUGGCGGGGCCCUGUCCCGCCACAUAAUACGGUCAUUACUCUUAGAGGUCUGUGGACAUCGGUGUGGGUCUGCUUGUAGUUGUUGAUGCGUUUUAUGUCUAUGACUUAUGUUUGGGGCGUACCCAUUCGUAAUGGCAGCCUUGUCGGCUCGCACAUGUAUAUGUUGUUCUGUUGGCCCUGUGUGGCCUUUGUUGGAAUUUGCUGUGUACAGGGUUAUUUUGGAUAGUCCGAAAAACAAAGGAAACUCUGCCGAAAUUUUCUUUGAAAAUCUUAUAAAUUUGAAACA